UGUCCUGCCCUGCCUGGGGCUGAGCUGGUUCUCAGCAUGAUCUCCGUCUAGCUCAGUAGCCGGAGACUUGGUAUUUCUAGUCCAUUCUGCCGCCAGUGAAUGCCCCAGCCUGACCUUGCUUCUCAGCCCCAAGGAGGGGGCAGGGCUGCCUGCAUGCGUGGCUUACUCAGGCCGAACCCCAGGACUCCAAGGCCUGAGUCAUGCUGGCCGCGGGAGGUGUCUGCACACAGACGCCAGUCAUUGCUCUGGCCAGGGGGGAGCACACAAGCUCCAUAUCCUUUUAUGUCCCUGUGUGGAUAUUCCCAGCCGAGAGUCAGGAGCUGUGAGUGGGGCUGGCCAGGGUAUCUGUCAUUCCAGCCUUCAGUGGCUUAAGGGGUGCAGGGGUCUGGAGAAAUGAGACUGGGCUGUGGGUGAGGGUGUAGGUCUGUACCCCUUACCCCGUCUUUCUUCAGGAGGCCCACAGCCCCUAAAGACCAUCUGAGACUCUGGCUUGCCAUUUGUCACAUCUCCCUUGCCGCACCCACAGCCUUCAGGGACAAGUCUGUGAGACUCCUCUUUCAUCUCUACCCACGGGUUUUGGCCAUCAGAAGCAGGUACUGUGCUGGAUGUGGUGUUAGGGGGAGAGUUUAAGCUACUCCAAGCCUCUGCAGCAAGUCUUUAGGCUUAAGGGAGCCCCACCUGGCACCCCAGCGUCUCUUUGCCCUUUGGAUACAGAGUCACACAGUCCAAGAUGCAGGCAGACAGGCCUCCCAGGUCCACAUAUGCGGCCACUGUUUCUGCCGUUCUGCUAGAGGAGUGGGAUCAGCUGCAGCCUGCGUCCCUGGGGAAAGCAAGAGUUCCUGACGGAGACUCUGCAGUUUGUAUGCCCGAACCCAUAUUCACUUUGACCCUGACCCAUCCUCAGCUUGGCCUUGGGGCUCUCCCUCAUCUCUGACCCUUCCAACUACACCCCAGUUGGGCCUCCUCUGCUGGGGUUCCUCUGGGACUUUUGACCUGGUUGCGGGGGGCGGGUGGAGAACCUCCCUUUCCCCUAGAUGAAGCCCAGAAACAGCCUGAGCUGGUUUUGGUUCCUCUUCUUCACACCUACAUGAUGAAAUGAGAUGGUCCACGUGGACGGGCUGUGUCGCCUGUGAUGCUCUGGUCACACUGAAGUCAUGAUGUGUGGUAAUUGUCUAUGGAGAGGGGUCAUAGAAAGCCAGGCUCUGGGGCUUGGACCAGCUUCACCGUGCGCUAUAGCAGCUUCCCCUCCCGGCUGGUGUGCAGGGUGGGGCUGGAGGUAUAGUUUAUGACCAGCCUCUGUGGAUGCCCCAGCCCAGGCCCUGGUUCUGUUGGAAGGAGGCUCUCAGAUCGAGGGUCGCAUAGACAGGGUCUGCUCUAGGUCUGCCAGGAUCGGCCUUUCCAGCAGGAUGGGUCCCUGGCAUACCCACCCCAGGACCUGGAAUCUUCUUGUUCCUGGUUCUUAGCCAUCUAAUUUUUGUUCUAUUUGGACCUUUCAUUGAUGAGAAUUAGCAGCCCGUCCCCACCCCCCAGCCCCUGCCUUAAAGAAGUGGACAUUUUAAGCGGCUCGAGUUGGUCUUCGAGUUCAAGAGGACAAAUGGAAUACAGAAUGACGAACCUGGCUUAUGGCCAGGAGCCCCCAGUUCCUUUUUUUUUUUUUUUUCUGGCAAGUUUGUGUAACCAAAAGGCCCCAGUUCUUAGCUCAACAUGAGAGUGUAAAACCCAGCGUUCAAGGAAUGUGAACCAAUACCUGGUAUGGGCAAGGACAAGGAGGAGAAUAGGAAGCAGAAGGAAUAGAAGGACCCAGACUAACUCCAGAGGAAAAUGGUGAGCUAAGACCUUUACUGCAUCACAAAUCAAUAAAUACUUAUUGAGAAGCUGCUA